rnacentral:rRNA from 1 species
GCGCCUAAGGAUGGGUCUGCGGCCUAUCAGGUAGUAGUGGGUGUAGCGUACCUACUAGCCUACGACGGGUACGGGUUGUGAGAGCAAGAGCCCGGAGAUGGAUUCUGAGACACGAAUCCAGGCCCUACGGGGUGCAGCAGGCGCGAAAACUUUACAAUGCUGGCAACAGCGAUAAGGGAACCUCGAGUGCCAGGUUACAAAUCUGGCUGUCGAGAUGCCUAAAAAGCAUUUCAUAGCAAGGGCCGGGCAAGACCGGUGCCAGCCGCCGCGGUAACACCGGCGGCUCGAGUGGUAACCGUUAUUAUUGGGUCUAAAGGGUCUGUAGCCGGCCGGAUAAGUCUCUUGAGAAAUCUGGCAGCUUAACUGUCAGGCUUUCAGGAGAUACUGUCUGGCUCGAGGCCGGGAGAGGUGAGAGGUACUUCAGGGGUAGGGGUGAAAUCUUGUAAUCCUUGAAGGACCACCAGUGGCGAAGGCGUCUCACCAGAACGGACCUGACGGCAAGGGACGAAAGCUAGGGGCACGA